CUUGUUCUUUAGCCAAUGUCUGUCCCCACCUACUCCUCCAGCUUUUAUGACCUGGAUGACACCUUGGAUGCAUGGCGGAGUGGACCCUGGAGAGAAGGCCUGCAGCUCAAUGCAGGGAGGCCAGCGGCCUGUGCGAGGGGAAGAGGGUUCCCAUUGAGCCGGCCCGAGCUGCUGGCGCGCUGGGUGGGGAACAUCGGCCGUGGCAAUUUCCAGCCCAGCUCGCACACGGUGCUCUGCUCGCAGCACUUCCAGCCGGACUGCUUCAGUGCCUUCGGCAACCGCACCAACCUCAAGCCCAACGCCGUGCCCACGCUCUUCGCCUUCCCCCGCACCGUCAGGGACUUUACAAGGACAGAGGAUGGAAGGAGAUUAGAUGUAGAAACUGUUCUGCAUCAAGAGCCCCAACCCAGUACAACAGAGGAACCAAUAGAAGAGGUUAGUACAACUAAGGCAACAGAAGUGGAGGGCUGGCUACUGCAAUCCAGGCCCCCAGUGCAGAGACAGCACCCAGUUCAGACCUCAGAUCACAGCUAUGCUGUCAGUGACCGUGCUUCCUUAAAACAAAAACUCUUCCAGGCACUAGAGGAAAAUGAAAAACUGCGAAAACGCCUGAAGGUUAAGAGCAUGGCACUGAGGAGGAUGUUUGUGCGGCUCCAGGCCUGCAAAAAGGAGCAGCAAAAACACCAGGCCAGACAGCCUCCUGGGAGGGAACAGGGCCUGACUUUCUGAACACUUGUCUACCAGCAAGAAUUGUGGUUCGACAGGCUGCCGACUAGAGUAUUUUAAUACUGAGUGAGAGACUCUCACAAACAACAAGGGAAACUGACUGUGUAGGGAAGUCAGCAGAAGUGACUAAGAAGUGCAGCCAAGUGAACGAUUGGAUUGUACAGCACAAUCCUGCAGCAAAGGAUGGAUUCGUACAUUCCACGGCCACAGAAUCACAGAGUACAUGAGGUCCUGGUUGCAGUAUCUGUUUACAUAGUAAACAAGGAAAGAUGUCUGAAUGAAAAUGCAUUUAUUUAUAUCAAAGCUUCUUGGUCUCUGAGGGUAUGUUUACACAGCACCUGGGAGGGCGCCACCCGCGUACCCAGGGUGUCCAGUGGGUUUGUACUUGGGCAGCUAGCCCGUGCCACCCCCCACACUGCCACGGCCAGACUGCUGUUUUUAGCACACUAGCUGGAGCAAAGCUAGGGCAUCUGCUCACCCACACGGGGAAGCACCCUCCCAGCUGCUGUGUAGACACAUCCUAGAAAGGAAGGAUGGCAAUUUCUGGAAUUCAUCUGCAAGGAGCUCUCUUUUAUUUUCUCUCUUCUCAUGUUUUACUAUUAUUAUUUCCAGGAGAAAUGACAAAUCUGCUAGGGCAGUGCUUUCCAAACCAAAACAUGCCAAGGACCCUGUCCCAAAGAGCUCAUAAUCUAAAAAGAUUUUGUCAAGCUUGCUACUGAUGUGUUGCAAUGGCUCCUAUAUAGGAAAGCUUUAUAAUAGCUCAGACUGCAAGCAACAUCCACUUAUGACGUCACAAUCACUUUUAUGGAAAACAGCUGAGAUAAGAAGAAAAAAUUGUGUCUUCACUGCAGAGUCAUGCAAGAGGAGGAAACUCAGUUUAGGUGAAAGCUUUCUUCCGACACAAUAUCCCCCAGCAAUGUUCCACUUUUCCUUAGCUAUUAUUGCUAAUUAUUGCAAAGGAAAUGGCUUUUUGCAUAAGUGUAAUGUGCCUGUUUUUCAGGGGUCUUCAGUGAAAUUCCCUCUUCAUAAUUUUCCUUUUAUAAAAAAUGUGGGUGCUUUUUAAUUAAAUAAUUUUGCAAGGAGAGUGCUUUACAACAACAAAGACACAAUUUCCAUCAUGAGUCUUCCUGUAAAAUGUAAUCUGUCCCAGGGAAUCACAAAGCUUGAACUGGGAAGGUGCCAGUUCUAUGAAUAAAGCGAGCGAGACAGUGAAUCAGUGAUCAGCUAGUCAUAGAAGAAAAUCAAGAAACAAUCAAAUAGUGAGAGUAGGAAUGUAGUAAUCUGUGUGGCAGGCAUUGUCUUACAAGGUCAGAGAGAUAAACUGGUGACAGAAGCCCCAAAAGACAGAAAAUCAAGCACCAAAUAACCCUAAACAUAAUACUCUAUUCCACAAGGAAACAGUGCAAGGUCAUUAAAACUGGAUUAAUAAAAUCAGGGGGUUUGAUUUGGACCAGGAUGUGUUCUGCAGCACUUUGAAAUGGCUGCAGCGUUCAACUACCAGAUUUAGGUAUAUUGAUUAAAAGGGAAUUAAAAUAAUCAAUACAUGAAAUUACAAUAGAACAAAUUAACCCAGCUGCAGAAUCUAUGUCUAAAAACAGGCAAGAAAUAUAGAUUAAGCAUGCAAAUAAAAUAUCUUAUAAAUCUGUCUGACACACUGGUCAACCAAUGAAGGGUGGUCAAAAUAAACUCCAGCAUCACCUGUAUCCUACCAAGUUGAUCAUCACACUUUUAUGUAGCCUGGUUGGGAAAACUCCUUUUUCACUAAAUUUUCCCAAUUUUGUUACCCACUGGUGGGGUGGUAGCUUUGGUGGAAGUACUACUGAAGACAAGGCUCCAAGCAGGGUUAGAUGGCACGAAUGUUACAAUGUCACCAGCCAUGCCAUUGCUAACACUGGUGGAAGCAACCAAGAGAUAUUUUAGAUCUAAAAGCUAAUGCAGAUACAAUGUCUUUGGAGGAUCUAGUUUAGUGCAUGUCUUUUCUGCUGUACCUCUCCUAAGAUGGUGGCGCAGGAAGAAAUGAGGUAUUUUUCCACAUCGAUAUGAACACAGUCACCAUGCGAUAUUCUGUAAUCUUCAGCUACGUGACAGCUGGAGUGUUUUACAUAUUAUUAAUGUAGGCCUUCUAGAACUAUUUUAUUAUUUUCUUUUUCUGUAAGAUUGCCCAUCAAAAUUUGUUUUGUUUAAGCCAAACUGAAGUGGGCAUCGGACUAGUAUCUGAGUCAGCUGCUGGCUAAUGCACUCAAGAAAAAGCUAAAUUUUGAUCCCAGUGGAGCCCCCCCACCCCCCCCCCCCAAAAAAAAAAAAAGAGGCAAAGGUACUCUGCUUGUGAACCAGAAUUGUAACCACAGAGAAGGAAGUAGUAUUCAUAAGAUGAAAUACUACAGAAUGGCAAAAGAAGGAGCAGUGAAAACAGAGAUGGCUUAAUUUUUAUUUAUUCAGACAUGUUAAUUAUACCCAGAGUAGUAUCAGAGAAGAGAUUCUUCCCGCUCUUUCUUGCUUCUAUGCAUGUGAUGAAGUGAGCUGUAGCUCACGAAAGCUUAUGCUCUAAUAAAUUUGUUAGUCUCUAAGGUGCCACAAGUACUCCUGUUCUUUUUGCGGAUACAGACUAACACGGCUGCUACUCUGAAACCUGUUCCCUAGGGAGAACAUUCCUGCAAGUUGACGCAUGUGAAGAAAAAGGUGGUGGGAGCUGGAUAACCCUCAAAGUAUCUGUAUUCUCCGACACAGGCAAAUAAAGAGAUUUGCUCUCUCCAAGUGUGAAGUAUUUCCUCUCAAACCAAGUAACUGACUUUCCAAACCCAUCAGCACAUCUCAAAAAGCAAAAACAGAACUCUAAAAGCAAAUAACCCAACUUAAAAUCUGCCAAACUGCCUAUAUCUGGGUAUUGCUCAACAUUUCUGGUUAGAAAUGCUUUAUUUAGCUGGAACCAUUUUAUAGAACUAAUAAAAUGUUAGACAUUUUAAAAUAGCUUGCAUUCUUAUGAAAUGAUCACAGCUGUGCUACCUAAUUCCACAGGAACGCUGCCUAGAGAGACAUUUCCAUAGAAUGCCAAUAAGCAAUUGCUGUAAACACCCAGAUGGCUAAUUUUAUAGGAGGACACAGAGGCUCAGGCUUACACUGCAGCUCUACUUUUUAUUGCUCACAACUACUGUGAAACACCCAGAAAAAAGUGUCAAAUUCCUAAAGUCACAGAGAAGCAUUAUAUGGCAAUAACCAACCCCACACCCCCUGUCUGUUCCCCACAUUCCUCAGAAUAUCCAUUUGCACCAAACCACCCUGAUUUGUAACAAGGAUGUUUCCAAUUUCUUUAGUUUUAUCCAUUUUCUGGAAUCCAUUUUCUGGUUGGAAUGCCAUUGAUAAGAGAUCAUUAAGGUUGGAUCAAAGGAGCCAAUGGGCCUGUUUUCAAUCACUGGCUGUCACUCCUGUUCUUUUGCACAGUUUGUUUUGUUUGCUGUGCUCUCUUCACCUCAGCUCCCACUCAGAGUGUAUCUUUGGUCCCCACAUUCACGGUAAAAUAAACCCAGUUGCCUCCAGGCUCCUCUGAAGCCACACUGAGCUUCACUAAUCUGCCUCCUGAUUGUCCCAUAUUUCAGGUUGAGGCUAGAGAGAGAAGACUGAGGUAAAAGAGCUAUCUGAUCUCCAGAAGACUCGGUUUCGCCAAGGGAAAUACAAAAGAAGGGCAUCUCAAGUACAUUAGGGAUUCAUUUAAAACCAUUGUUUUGGCUUUGAGAUAUUUCCAGUGGUUUUUAAUACAGAAGUUCUGAUUUUAUUAAGACCAUAAAGGGAAGAGUUCUUCCAUUUUACCCUUUGUGUAUUAGCAGAAAAGCUCCAGUGAAGACCAAAGCACAUGCAAGAAGAAAAAAGAUUUCUUCUGAAGGCAGGGAGGAGAGGAAGAGAAGAACAGGAAAGUGAGCCUGUGGGCAAGUGGCACAGAAAAACAUUGCUCAGUGGACUGACAAUAAUUUGCAGACUCCUGUAUAUUGACACAAUUUUUUAUGGUUAAUUUUUAUUUGAUUUUCCAGUGAUAACAUAGGUGGCACAGAGAAAAACUGCCACAAAGGAAAAAUUAAAUUACAUACUGUAAAACAGUUUUUGUCCCAUGGGAAUGAGCAGAGCAUAAACUGUUCUUCAACAACAUGAGAUAUGCCGACAGAUAAAUCUUAGUAUUCAUAGAACAAUUCGUGUUUAGUUGUCCCUAUAUGGCAGAGAAAAAAGGAGAGAAAGCUACAUCCGGGGAGCUGAGGAAGGAAUGGAAGCUGCAAUAUCAUCUCAGCUAAAGUCUCAAAGACACAGUUUAGCGCUAACGUCCUUUCUGAGCGACAGGCGAGACACACAUAUUUAUCAUUGCAGCAGACUUAUCAGAUCAGGGUAGGUGGAGUGGGAAGCUACAUCAUCAGUUGAACUACACAAGACCAGUCUCUACGUAGCCAAGUCUAAUGAUGGAUUAGAGAAAGAGAAAUGUAAAAUCAAAUCAAGUUCUCCCUACACACGCCUAUAUUAAGAGAGAGGAAAUGAUACCACAACAAGUGACAGGCACCUAGAGUCAACCUCACACCCUGUCACUGCUCUCACUCCCCUCCCUAAAAAGAAAAGGAGUACUUGUGGCACCUUAGAGACUAACCAAUUUAUUUGAGCAUGAGCUUUCGUGAGCUACAGCUCACUUCAUCGGAUGCAUACCGUGGAAACUGCAGCAGACUUUAUAUAUACACAGAGAAUAUGAAACAAUACCUCCUCCCACCCCACUGUCCUGCUGGUAAUAGCUUAUCUAAAGUGAUCAUCAGGUGGGCCAUUUCCAGCACAAAUCCAGGUUUUCUCACCCUCCACCUCCCCACACAAAUUCACUCUCCUGCUGGUGCUAGCCCAUCCAAAGUGACAACUCUUUACAUAAUCAAGUCGGGCUAUUUCCUGCACAAAUCCAGGUUUAUAAUAUAUAAUAGUAUAAUAAUAUAUAUAUUAUUAUAUAUAAUAUAAUAAUAAUAUUUAUAAUAGCUC